rnacentral:rRNA from 1 species
AGAACGAACGCUGGCGGCAGGCUUAACACAUGCAAGUCGAGCGCCCAGCAAGGGGAGCGGCAGACGGGUGAGUAACGCGUGGGAACAUACCCUCCGGUUCGGAAUAGCUCAGGGAAACUUGGAUUAAUACCGGAUACGGCCUAGCGGCGAAAGAUUGAUCGCCGGAGGAUUGGCCCGCGUCUGAUUAGCUAGUUGGUGGGGUAAUGGCCCACCAAGGCGACGAUCAGUAGCUGGUCUGAGAGGAUGAUCAGCCACAUUGGGACUGAGACACGGCCCAAACUCCUACGGGAGGCAGCAGUGGGGAAUAUUGGACAAUGGGCGCAAGCCUGAUCCAGCCAUGCCGCGUGAGUGAUGACGGCCUUAGGGUUGUAAAGCUCUUUCGCUAGGGACGAUAAUGACGGUACCUAGACAAGAAGCCCCGGCUAACUUCGUGCCAGCAGCCGC